GCCGGAGUAGCUCAGCGGUAGAGCAGCUCACUCGUAAUGAGCAGGUCCGGGGUUCGAUUCCCCGCUCCGGCU
rnacentral:tRNA from 2 species